CAUGGCUCAGGAUGAACGCUAGCGGCAGGCUCAAUACAUGCAAGUCGAGGGGCAGCACAGUGUAGCAAUACAUGGGUGGCGACCGGCAAACGGGUGCGUAACACGUACGCAACCUUCCCGUUACUGGGGGAAUAGCCCAGGGAAACUUGGAUUAAUACCCCAUAUUAUAUUGGUUAGGCAUCUGACCGAUAUCAAAGUUUUAACGGUAACGGAUGGGCGUGCGGUUGAUUAGGUAGUUGGCGGGGUAACGGCCCACCAAGCCUACGAUCAAUAGCUGAUGUGAGAGCAUGAUCAGCCACACGGGCACUGAGACACGGGCCCGACUCCUACGGGAGGCAGCAGUAAGGAAUAUUGGGCAAUGGACGAAAGUCUGACCCAGCCAUGCCGCGUGAAGGAUGAAGGUCCUCUGGAUUGUAAACUUCUUUUUCUGGGGAGAAAUGCACUUUUUCUAAAGUGUUUGACGGUACCAGAAGAAUAAGCACCGGCUAACUCCGUG
rnacentral:rRNA from 1 species